GAUGAACGCUAGCGGCAGGCUUAUUACAUGCAAGUCGAGGGGCAGCAGGUCCCGCAGCAAUGCGGGAUGCUGGCGACCGGCAAACGGGUGCGGAACACGUACAGAACCCUCCUUUAAGUGGGGAAUAGCCCAGGGAAACCCGGAUUAAUACCCCGUAACAUAAUGAAGUGGCAUCACUUUAUUAUUAUAGCAGCAAUGCGCUUGAAGAUGGCUGUGCGGCUGAUUAGGUAGUUGGCGGGGUAACGGCCCACCAAGCCUACGAUCAGUAACUGGUGUGAGAGCCCGACCAGUCACACGGGCACUGAGACACGGGCCCGACUCCUACGGGAGGCAGCAGUAAGGAAUAUUGGGCAAUGGACGCAAGUCUGACCCGGCCAUGCCGCGUGGAGGAUGAAGGUCCUCUGGAUUGUAAACUUCUUUUAUCUGGGAAGAAAUCUAUUUUUUCUAAAGUAGUUGACGGUACCAGAUGAAUAAGCACCGGCUAACUCCGUGCCAGCAGCCGCCGCCG
rnacentral:rRNA from 1 species